rnacentral:lncRNA from 1 species
CAAAACAAUUUUAAUUCUUGUUUCAUCACUUUCUCCUCCCAGGUUCUGGCUACAUAACAGCAUAGAGUCAACUUCCCUUCAAGACAGAAGGUAAGAGAGACAAUACAUUUUGGAGAGGCAAUUUCCAAGCACUCA